rnacentral:rRNA from 1 species
UACAGAGGGUGCGAGCGUUGUCCGGAAUCACUGGGCGUAAAGGGCGCGUAGGCGGCUGGGUAAGCGUGUGGUGAAAGUCCGGGGCUCAACCCCGGAUCGGCCAUGCGAACUUGUCCAGCUGGAGCACGGUAGAGGCACAUGGAAUUCCGGGUGUAGCGGUGGAAUGCGUAGAGAUCCGGAAGAACACCGGUGGCGAAGGCGGUGUGCUGGGCUGUAGCUGACGCUGAGGCGCGACAGCGUGGGGAGCAAACAGG